AUGAAUACGUUGCUGAGCAAGGAAUAGAACUCUAUGAGCUGGU
rnacentral:sRNA from 1 species